AGAGUUUGAUUAUGGCUCAGGACGAACGCUGGCGGCGUGCUUAACACAUGCAAGUCGAACGAUGACGAUGGUGCUUGCACCGUCUGAUUAGUGGCGAACGGGUGAGUAACACGUGAGUAACCUGCCCUCCUCUUCGGGAUAACCGCCGGAAACGGUGGCUAAUACCGGAUAUGAAUGCCUGCCGCAUGGUGGGUGUUGGAAAGAUUUAUCGGUGGGGGAUGGACUCGCGGCCUAUCAGUUUGUUGGUGAGGUAAUGGCUCACCAAGGCGAUGACGGGUAGCCGGCCUGAGAGGGCGACCGGCCACACUGGGACUGAGACACGGCCCAGACUCCUACGGGAGGCAGCAGUGGGGAAUAUUGCACAAUGGGCGAAAGCCUGAUGCAGCGACGCCGCGUGGGGAUGACGGCCUUCGGGUUGUAAACCUCUUUCAGCAGGGAAGAAGCGAGAGUGACGGUACCUGCAGAAGAAGCGCCGGCUAACUACGUGCCAGCCGCGGC
rnacentral:rRNA from 1 species